rnacentral:rRNA from 1 species
GACAGAGGGUGCAAACGUUGCUCGGAAUCACUGGGCGUAAAGGGCGUGUAGGCGGGACAGUAAGUCGGGCGUGAAAUCCCUGGGCUCAACCCAGGAACUGCACUCGAAACUACUAUUCUUGAGUGUCGGAGAGGAAAGCGGAAUUCCUGGUGUAGAGGUGAAAUUCGUAGAUAUCAGGAGGAACACCAGUGGCGAAGGCGGCUUUCUGGACG